rnacentral:lncRNA from 1 species
GGGGAUAUAAAACCAGACAUUCGAGCCAGCAACAGCUACCCUCUUUGGGUCCCCUCCCUUUGUAUGGGAGCUCUGUUUUCACUCUAUUAAAUCUUGCAACUGCACUCUCUUCUGGUCUGUGCUUGUUAUGGUUUGAGCUGAGCUUUCGAUUGCUGUCUACCACUGCUGUUUGCCACCAUUGCAGACCCGCUGCUGACUUACAUCCCUCCGGAUCUGGCAGGGUGUCCGCUGUGCUCCUGAUCCAGUGAGGUGCCCAUUGCCACUCCCUGUCGGGCUAAAGGCUUGCCAUUGUUCCUGCAUGGCUAAGUGCCCGGGUUUGUCCUAAUCGAGCUGAACACUAGUCACUGGGUUCCUCGGUUCUCUUCUGUGACCCACAGCUUCUAAUAGAGGUAUAACACUCACUGCAUGGCCAAGAUUCCAUUCCUUGGAAUCCAUGAGGCCAAGAACCCCAGGUCAGAGAACACUAGGCUUGCCGCCAUCUUGGAAGCAGCCCGCCACCAUCUUGGGACCUCUGGGAGCAAGGACGCCCCCCCUCCCCCGCUGCUGGUAACAUUUUGGCAACCACGAAGCAACCUCCAAAGCAGCACUCAUUUGCUGCUCUUGCAAGUGCUGCCACCCAUGUGAUGCCAUCUGCCAUAUGACACAGCAUGUCAUGGUCCUUUCCAGAGGAAGUCAGGGACCCCGAACAGGGGGACAGGCUGAAGCCAUGGCAGAAGAACAUAAAUUGUGAAGAUUUCAUGGACAUUUAUUAGUUCCCCAAAUUAAUACUUUUAUAAUUUCUUACUCCUGUCUUUACUGCAAUCUCUGAACAUAAAUUGUGAUGAUUUCAUGGACACUUAUCACUUCCCCAAUUAAUACCCUUGUGAUUUCCUAUGCCUGUCUUUACUUUAAUCUCUUAAUCCCAUCAUCUUCGCAAGCUGAGGAGGAUGUAUGUCUCCUCAGGGCCCUGUGAUGAUUGCGUUAACUGCACAAAUUGUUUGUAGAGCAUGUAUGUUUGAACAAUAUGAAAUCUGGGCACCUUGAAAAAAGAACAGGAUAACAGCAACGUUCAGGGAACAAGAGAGAUAACCUUAAACUCUGACUGCCGGUGAGCCAGGUGGAACAGAGCCAUAUUUCUCUUCUAUCAAAAGCAAAUGGGAGAAAUGUCGCUGAAUUCUUUUUCUCAGCAAGGAACAUCCCUGAGAAAGAGAAUGCAUCCCUGAGGGGAGGCCUCUAAAAUGGCCGCUUUGGUGGGGCGGCUGUCUUUUACAGUCGCAGCUGUGGGAUGAAAUAAGCCCCGGUCUCCAGUAGCGCUCCCAGGCUUAUUAGGAUGAGGAAAUUUCUGCCUAAUAAAUUUUGGUCAGACUGGUUGUCUGCUCUCAACCCCUGUCUGCUGAUAAGACGUUAUCAAUGACAAUGCCUGCCCAAAACUUCAUUAGCAAUUUUAAUUUCACCCUGGUCUUGUGGUCCUGUGGUCUCACCCUGCCUCCAUCUACCUUGUGAUAUCUUAUCAUCUUGUGAAGCAUGUGAUCUCUGUGACCCACACCCUAUUUGUACACUCCCUCCCCUUUUGAAAAUCACUAAUAAAAACUUGCUCGUUUUAUGGCUCAAGGGGCAUCACGGAACCUGCCGAUGUGUGAUGUCUCCCCUGGACACCC